rnacentral:rRNA from 1 species
GACGAACGCUGGCGGCGUGCUUAACACAUGCAAGUCGAACGAUGAAGCCGGAGCUUGCUCUGGUGAAUUAGUGGCGAACGGGUGAGUAACACGUGAGUAACCUGCCCUUGACUCUGGGAUAACUGCUAGAAAUGGUAGCUAAUACCGGAUACGACCCUCGGCGGCAUCGCCAGGGGGUGGAAAGAAUUUCGGUCAAGGAUGGACUCGCGGCCUAUCAGCUAGUUGGUGAGGUAACGGCUCACCAAGGCGACGGCGGGUAGCCGGCCUGAGAGGGUGACCGGCCACACUGGGACUGAGACACGGCCCAGACUCCUACGGGAGGCAGCAGUGGGGAAUAUUGCACAAUGGGCGCAAGCCUGAUGCAGCAACGCCGCGUGAGGGAUGACGGCCUUCGGGUUGUAAACCUCUUUUAGUAGGGAAGAAGCGAUAGUGACGGUACCUGCAGAAAAAGCACCGGCUAACUACGUGCCAGCAGCCGCGGUAA